AAUCGGCCCACAGUUCGCUGCAGUGAGCCGACGGUGUUUCAGCUCGCGUCGCUUGCUGCGUGGUUGUCUUUUUAAAGUCGUUCCCGAUCGUAGUUUGGUAUCGCUUUUACAACGAGUGGCCAGUGUGUGCUAUGGAAGGUGCAACAUGCGAUGCCGAGCAGGUGUUGAGUGCCAGGAAGUUCCGGAAGUUAUCGAAAGGGGAGGAAGCCUCAGGCAUUGUUAUCGCUGAAAGGUGAAAGUACCUGGAACAGCUGGAUCUGUGCCAGGCCCCUGAAGGGUUUUCGCGCCACGUCGUACUUAAGCGAUCCUCAGCCCUAUCGAGAUUGGAGACAGAGAAAGCCUGCCCCAGCCGCACGUUAACGUGGUCUCACGUGUCAAUCGGAUGGGCCACGUGGUCAGGAUCCCGUCACAUCUCGGUCCCGCUCCUAGAUCGAAGCAGUUGUGGUCCGCGUCUAGAUCACCUGCUUGGGCAAGUGGAUUGCUUCGGAAUAUAUAUAUAUAUAUAUAU